AAGUCGUAACAAGGUCUCCGUAGGUGAACCUGCGGAGGGAUCAUUACAGAGUUGAAAAACUCCCUAAACCCACUGUGAACGUUACCAAUGUUGUUGCUUCGGCAGGCGGCCCCAGGGCGGGGCCUGAGCCUUCUGGAAAGGUGCCUGCCGGAGGACCCAAACAAAAAACUCUGUUACCGUCACCUGAGUACAAGACCGAAUUAAGUCAAAACCUUCAACAACGGAUCUCUUGGUUCUG
rnacentral:misc_RNA from 1 species